CCUUCACAAACAGCCAGCACUAAUUUACCAACCAAAUGACGGUCUUUGGAAAACAUAUCCUCUGGCCUCAGGCAAGUCUUCAAGGACUACAGUCCCAGUCAACCUUUCACUGCAACCUCAUGGUAAACCCUGCACUAGUACCAUCGAGCUGCUCCUGAAUUCCUGACUCACAGAAACUGUGAGAGAAUAAAUGUGGUUGUUCUGGGACACUAGGUUUUGAGGUGAAAAAUGAGAAGAUUAAAUAAGCCAUGGGAAGAUUUUUAAAAAAGACAUGAAACUCCAAGGGUAAAAAGUAGUACAUUUCAAAAAUUUGGAGUAAACUUUUAUGUGUACUCAAGGGAGAUGUUCAGAAAGGGUUAUCUUCGAAGAGAUGCUUCAGAAAGGAGAGAGAAUUUGGGGAACCUUUUCCAUGAUUUGAAGAAGACAGUUGUCUGGGCCCUGACAGAAGACCGUGUUCACCGACACUAACACGGAAGUUACUGGAUUAUGAAUGCCACACUGGCUGGGAAAUCCUGGAUGGUGAACCACACGUGUUCCCUGAGUGUGAAUCCUGUACCUGGUUUGACUGUAGUCACCCCUUCUCCAACACUCUCCACGAUGCCGGCUGCCUCAUGGCCUAAAAUCACAGGAAGUGGGGUCACCAUCGUACCACUAACCACGUGGUCAUCUGUGCCACAGAUUCCUACAGACACCAUCUGCAGAGUGAAGAGAUAUUUAGAAAAGAUUAUGAGUCUCAGGAUGUUCAACAUGAUCAAUGCCAAAAUAAAUAUCAGAAUACUUGAAAGUAAAGUACGAAUAGUAGGAGUUCCUGAUUAUCAGGUGCCUAUGAUGUGACAGGCACAUUGUGGCCUGUGCUCGACCAGGAGACUGGUGAGUCCUUGUGAAUUUCUUCCCUGCUCAAGUGCAUAAAGCAGGUGUAUUGCACAGGUAAUGAUGAGCAGUGCGAAGAUGUGACUCCAAAGCCUGGAGAAGGACAGACCAGCAUCCCUGGCAAGAGAUCCAACUGUCUUCUUUUCCGCAGAGGUCCACAAUUUACAUGGACCUGACAAAGAAUAUUGUAACUUGCAGAAAUUAUCUUCAGUUCAAAUCCUUCAUUUUGGGGGUUAAAUAACUUGCCCAAGAUGUCGAGGGAGCGGAAAUACUUGCUGGUCUUGCAGCGGCUGUGGAGCCUGGAAUCCUGCCAAGAAGAGCAUGUGUGAGAAAUCAAAAUGUUUCUUACAUUCCUCCUGUGAAGGGAGUUGGGAAAUAAUCUAAAAAGCCCAAUCCAAAAACAAAGAUGUACCAUCCAGUCUUCUCUGUGAGAGCCAAACUACAAACCAUCUGAAUGUUCCAAAAGUGUUUUGAUGAUGUAUUGAUGUAUUUUAAAUUAUCCUGAAAAUGUUCUUGGCAGAUGCUUAAACGUGUAAUUACUGAGAUGAUGUAGAAAUACCAAGUGUUUAUUAAAACAAUACAGAGUGAUACAAA